AGUGGAAUUGCUGGGCCAUAUGUCAGCCCUACCUCUAGUUUUUUGAGGAACCACCAGACUGUUUUCUAAAAUGGCUGUAUCAUUUUGCAUUCCCACCAGCAAU
rnacentral:pre_miRNA from 1 species